rnacentral:rRNA from 1 species
GUGGCAGCCGCCGCGGUAAUACGGAGGGUGCAAGUGUUACUCGGAAUCACUGGGCGUAAAGGACGCGUAGGCUGGAUAGUAAGUCUGAUGUGAAAUCCUAUGGCUUAACCAUAGAACUGCAUUGGAAACUACUAACCUAGAGUAUGGGAGGGGAGAUGGAAUUAGUGGUGUAGGGGUAAAAUCCGUAGAUAUCACUAGGAAUACCGAAAGCGAAGGCGAUCUCCUGGAACAUUACUGACGCUAAGGCGUGAAAGCGUGGGGAGCGAAACGGGAUUAGAUACCCCGGUAGUCCACGCCCUAAACGAUGAACACUAGUCGUCGCUCUGCUAGUCAGGGCGGUGAUGCAGUUAACACAUUAAGCGUUCCGCCUGGGGAGUACGGUCGCAAGAUUAAAACUCAAAUGAAUUGACGG